AUUGAACGCUGGCGGCAGGCUUAACACAUGCAAGUCGAGCGGAGCGAGGGUGCUUGCACCUUAGCUUAGCGGCGGACGGGUGAGUAAUGCUUAGGAAUCUGCCUAUUAGUGGGGGACAACAUUCCGAAAGGAAUGCUAAUACCGCAUACGCCCUACGGGGGAAAGCAGGGGAUCUUUGGACCUCGCGCUAAUAGAUGAGCCUAAGUCGGAUUAGCUAGUUGGUGGGGUAAAGGCCUACCAAGGCGACGAUCUGUAGCGGGUCUGAGAGGAUGAUCCGCCACACUGGGACUGAGACACGGCCCAGACUCCUACGGGAGGCAGCAGUGGGGAAUAUUGGACAAUGGGCGGAAGCCUGAUCCAGCCAUGCCGCGUGUGUGAAGAAGGCCUUUUGGUUGUAAAGCACUUUAAGCGAGGAGGAGGAGCUCUAGGUUAAUACCCUAGAUGCUUGGACGUUACUCGCAGAAUAAGCACCGGCUAACUCUGUGCCAGCCGCCGCCGUAAUAC
rnacentral:rRNA from 1 species